ensembl:lncRNA
GAGGGGAUGUGCAGAGGAAAAGACCAGGAAGAGCAGUAUCAGAUCAACAGCUGUUGCAGGUGUGUAUACUUAAAGGGGAACAACGGCCUCUUAAAAAAUCCGCCCAGCAUAUUAUGUUUUAUGGCUUAACUGGUUAGAUAGUAAAAAAAAUAAGGCGACCUAUAAAAACUAUGUCAAUAGAUUUUUGUCGUCUAAUUAAGGCACGGAGGGGAAUAGUGUGAGGCGCUGUUCCUCACUGUAACUACUAUGUGUGUGCAUGCAUGCACGUACAGGAAUUGAGUGAGUGUGCAUGUGUGCAAACACAUUUUGACCCUUGCCCUUUUUCUUUUGCAGACAGCACACUUACAGCAGAGGAGGCUAACGGGCAGAGCAGCUCGGAUGUACAGUCGUUACUUUACUGGGAAGAGCACACACCUUUGGUGGAAAGCAUAAAAAGCAGAAACAGAGCAGAGCGAAUGGCACGUGUGCAGGGCUACCUCUCCCAAAGGGGGCAGCAUGUAGCAAAGGCUCAUUCCCACGACUCAGCCAAUGGCCAGAAGGUUUCUCAGCCUUUGUCAACUCUGUGGGGCCACUCCUCAGGCUUCUUUCACAAACAGCAAAGGAAACACCCUGCAGAGAGUCCACAGGUGCUCACCUACCACCAGAUUCCUCUGCUCACUCUGGACUGGAACAGUGACAAAGCCCGUAAGUUGGGGGCUGCUGACAGGGAUGACAUCCGGACUGGAGGAGCUAAAAUGAACUCGGCAAAAGCGCCGCCGGAAAAAAUGGCGGACACACAUCCCGUCAGUGACGCGACGGGGAUCUUUCGCAACGGUGCAGAUUAUACCUUCGAUAAAAAAAGCUCUGUGUGCAAUGUAUGGCAGGCGUUUGUUAACGGGCUGAGCUGUGCGGACCAGUCGGGUGUUACAGAGUCGGAAUGGCUGCAGACCGCAGCGUUAGUGUCUCCCUCAAAUGAAAAAGGGCCCAAUGCCCGAUGUGCAGCGAGCAGUCACGAGCAUGAAUGUCCGGUGGGCACAGAUGCGCCCGCCACCUCGCACGCACACACCUCAGAUUCAUGUCAGCCGCUGUCAGAUACUCGCCAAAUAGCAACGGCCGAUGUCGGCGUGAACAGCGAAGACCACCGUCCGGCGGAGGCUUGUGUCGGCAUCCCGAGGGAUGACACACAAGAUGCAUCCCAAAGGUCACAGACAAGCAGCGUAACAGACACUCCCCGGGAAUUCUGCGUCCAGGCGGCGACGCCUGUGUCCGAGGGCCGCGCUGACAGUUCAGCUGAGUGUCACGAGCGUGCGAUGAGGGAGCGAGAAAGAGAAGCAAGGGCAGAAGGAAUGGGAAGAGAUGGGCCCUCAGCACCGCGCGCGGCUGACUUUGUAACAAGCUCGGGGGAGUCGGGGGCAACAGACACGACGGCAACGCCAGAGUCUGAGAAUGCCACCGCGGCCGAUAAGAUCUGCCGGGGAGCGCGGCCGGAUGAGGGUUUUUCUCCGUGUAGGGACGGGGAGGUUAGAGGUGCCGCGCACAAUGCGAUGGAUGACACCCUGGCAUUUAGGGGGACAAUCCGAAGGGAGACAGGGGACGGGGAGAGGUUUGUCUUUUCUGCAUCCAGACAAGGAAUGGAGGAGAGGAGUGUGGAAAACAGAGGAGCUGCAGAUGAGGAGAUAUUUAGGCCACGGAAGACAGCGGAGUGCAAAAGCUCCCAGAGGUGUGCAGAGGAAAAGCAACAAGAGGAAUUCAGGCUGAAUCAAAACAGGGAAGAUCCGUUACAGGCAAAGGAGAGGGGAAAAAAGGAAAUAAGAGUUGCAAAGACAAAUGCAGAUGAAUCUAAUUCCAGCCAAACGUACGUCGGCCAAAGCCAAGUUAUGGCUGGGGAAUUCAUAUUGGAGGAAUCAGAGAGGCAAGAUGUUGCAUCAAGUAACAAAGACGUCGAAGUAUCCAAAAAGACAGAGGUGGAAGCUUGCUCUUGUACAGCAAUCAAUGAAAUAAAGACACUAACUGGUGUAGAAGAGGGAAUUAUUCAGGGGUUAAAUGAGGAACAUCAACGUAAUUCAUCAUGGAAGACGGGAAAUACGUCAAUAAUUUUGGGAGUACAUAAUAAACAGACAACAGAGCACCUAACAGUGACACAAAUGCAGGGAAAUGCACUGGAAUCUGAAACAGAUGAACAGGCUUUAGUCUCAAAUCAGACUGAGGAAGGAAAAUAUUUAAGUUACGAGGGAAUAAUUGCAAAGCAACUGGGAAUAAACCGAGCGCCACCGUGGAGACACGCGGUGGAAUCAAAGGAAAUUAAAAAGGUCUUUCAAGGUGACCAUGAUACAUUCAGACAUUCUCUAACAGAUAAAUGCAGCCAAAAGCCAGUGGAGGUGAGAUGGACUCAUUCACGGGACGAUACGAAGGGUCCCAACCAGGAUGGAGGCCGUGAAACGACCCCAGAAGAAGCAAAUUCGGAGACGAAUGUUGCAAAGAAAGACACUUCGACGGAGCCUGAACACCGACCUGAGACAUUAAAAAGAAGAAAAGAAGAUUUGAGUCGGAGAGACGGGGAUGAUAGCGCGAGUAUUGGAAAGCUGAAAAUAGAAGUACCGGGGGAGUUGAUGGGAAAUGCGGAGAUUGCUCGGGGGGGAGACGGAGAAUGCAGCGGCUGA